UACGAAGGGGGCUAGCGUUGUUCGGAAUUACUGGGCGUAAAGGGCGCGUAGGCGGUGUGUCAAGUCAGGCGUGAAAGCCCCGGGCUCAACCUGGGAACAGCGCUUGAGACUGGCACGCUCGAGUUCGGGAGAGGAUGGUGGAAUUCCCAGUGUAGAGGUGAAAUUCGUAGAUAUUGGGAAGAACACCGGAUGGCGAAGGCGGCUAGCCUGCCGGACCACGACGUCGAGCGCGAAGCGUGGGAGCAAAACGGAAU
rnacentral:rRNA from 1 species